rnacentral:rRNA from 1 species
GACGAACGCUGGCGGCGUGCUUAACACAUGCAAGUCGAACGGAAAGGCCCUGCUUUUGUGGGGUGCUCGAGUGGCGAACGGGUGAGUAACACGUGAGUAACCUUCCCUUGACUUUGGGAUAACUUCAGGAAACUGGUGCUAAUACCGGAUAGGUGCUCCUGCUGCAUGGUGGGGGUUGGAAAGUUUCGGCGGUUGGGGAUGGACUCGCGGCUUAUCAGCUUGUUGGUGGGGUAGUGGCUUACCAAGGCUUUGACGGGUAGCCGGCCUGAGAGGGUGGCCGGCCACAUUGGGACUGAGAUACGGCCCAGACUCCUACGGGAGGCAGCAGUGGGGAAUAUUGCACAAUGGGCGGAAGCCUGAUGCAGCAACGCCGCGUGCGGGAUGACGGCCUUCGGGUUGUAAACCGCUUUCGCCUGUGACGAAGCGUGAGUGACGGUAAUGGGUAAAGAAGCACCGGCUAACUACGUG